rnacentral:rRNA from 1 species
CCUGGCCUUGACAUACUAAGAACUUUCCAGAGAUGGAUUGGUGCCUUUCGGGAACUUAGAUACAGGUGCUGCAUGGCUGUCGUCAGCUCGUGUCGUGAGAUGUUGGGUUAAGUCCGCAACGAGCGCAACCCUUUUCCUUAUUUGCCAGCGGGUAAUGCCGGGAACUUUAAGGAUACUGCCAGUGACAAACUGGAGGAAGGCGGGGACGACGUCAAGUCAUCAUGGCCCUUACGGCCAGGGCUACACACGUGCUACAAUGGUCGGUACAAAGGGUUGCUACCUCGCGAGAGGAUGCUAAUCUCAAAAAGCCGAUCGUAGUCCGGAUCGCAGUCUGCAACUCGACUGCGUGAAGUCGGAAUCGCUAGUAAUCGCGGAUCAGAAUGCCGCGGUGAAUACGUUCCCGGGCCUUGUACACACCGCCCGUCACACCAUGGGAGUUUGUUGCACCAGAAGUAGGUAGUCUAACCGCAAGGAGGACGCUUACCACGGUGUGGCCGAUGACUGGGGUGAAGUCGUAACAAGGUAAGCGUAGAUGA